rnacentral:rRNA from 1 species
CACCGGCGGCUCGAGUGGUGGCCACUUUUAUUGGGUCUAAAGCGUCCGUAGCCGGCUUGGCAAGUCCCCUGGGAAAUCUGGCGGCUUAACCGUCAGGCGUCCAGAGGAUACUGCCAGGCUUGGGACCGGGAGAGGUGAGAGGUACCUCAGGGGUAGGGGUGAAAUCUUGUGAUCCCUGAGGGACCACCAGUGGCGAAGGCGGCCACCUGGACAGGUAUCGACGCUGAGGCGCGAAAGUGUGGGGAGCAAACAGG